ensembl:lncRNA
GCCCCUCCACUUAUAUUUUGUAAAUAUCUUUUAAUAUUUUAUUAUCUCUUAAUAUUUUUUACUUUUUUAUAUAUUUAAUUUUAUAUAUUGUUUUUCUUAUGUGUAGUACGUAUUAUGUUUAUUGUAAGCACCAAUAUGCCAAAACACUUUCCUGGUAGGUGUAAACUUACUUGGCAAUAAAAACAAUUCUGAUUCUGUUAUUGGAUACUUUUUGUUGGAACUGUUAAACUGCCUAGACUGAGUUUUACUAUGUCUGUUUUUAAAGUAGUGAAGACAAUUGGAUAUGAAACAGGACCUCAGGCAGAGGAUUGGUAAUUCUUCAGUCAAUACGUCCUUCAUGAACCACACUUCCAGCUACAGGAAUAGAGUCUGCAGUAUGUACGUAUCUCUCUAACCUAACCUUUCUUGCUAUCCAGGUCGUUUUUGUGAGACACACUGAGUCAGCAUUUUUGUCUGUUACCAAUGGGCAUAGUAGACAUUUGAACUUGAAGUUUAUUAUCUUUCUGAUAUUCUUUUUUCUUUUUUUUUGUAUAUGAUUGUGUACAGUAGACUUUUCCUAGUGUGAGACACACUGAGUCAGCAUUUUUGUCCGUUAACAAUGGGCAUAGUAGACAUUUAAACUUGAAGUUUAUUAUCUUUCUGAUAUUCUUUUUUUUUGUAUAUGAUUGUGUACAGUAGACUUUUCCUGUAAAAUAAAACUACAUAGAAGACAUGAAAAUUCCCCCUAAAAUGAUGGAUUUGUUGUUACACAUAUGCUUUAUGUUUUUGUCUGACAUGAUUUUGUGAAGGACUGCAAAUACAAAUACAAUUAUUCACAAAUGUAGUUCUUGCUAUAUGCUGAAAUUAAUAAGAGCGACAGGGGUACAACAAAACAAUAUUGUCACACAAAAUACAAGUAUAUAAGCAGAUGGAAGGUAGACUUUUAUUCUAUACAUUCACACCAGCACACGAUGACGAAAACCCAAAGGUAAAACAUAGGCAGAUAUAUCAGCAAAAUAAGAACAAGGGAAGAAUUACAACAAUUUUGGUACACCCAUAUUUGCUGAAAUGUAAGUCAUCUACAAUGACAGUAACAUAACAAUUUGGACCACAAUAUUGGUAAAGCACAUUUCAUUGACAAAGUGUUCAAUGUCACAUGGAGUGUCCUCACUGAACAUUCUGGAGGUUUCCGCUUCACAACAUUGGUUAACCAACGCUGUAACCUGGUCAGCCUUAUGGGUCACACAGUGUCUUGGAAAAAGCACAAAGUAAUGUAGGGAAAAUCAGUAGACCUAACCAUUUUCAACCCCCAAACAAAAUAUUUACUUUUUUCAACAGGUGCUUCACACAAUGGUUACGGAAAUCCAAUUUAAAUCAACACAUCACCUGCUUUAAUUCAGGUUGUAUUUCAAUUUAAAAAAAGUAUUCAUGACUGGAUACAGUACCAGCAGGGCAUUAGUAUAAUGUGCACUUGACUAGACUGACAAAUGAGUACAAUUCAAACUAAUGGUAUGAGAACAGAAUUCAAAUUUCGAUAUGAUUAAAAUAUCAACCCAAUAAAUUAACAAAUAUUCUGACUCACCAAUUUACCCAUUGGUUAGACACAACCCAUACACUGUCAGUUUGCUGCUCAAUAAAUCUCGCUGAAAUUGUCCACCUUUGUACAACCUUUUUUCCUACCCACCUGCCCAGUUUUAGAUAGUGAUUAGGCUGUUAUUCCCCUUCACCAUGAAAAAUACAUAGUUACAAUUUUGUUGACAUAAGUCUCAGUAAUACUCAAUAUAAAUGAGAUCUUCCUGAGCCACUGAUUAGUAGUGACAAAAUGCUAUUUUAACAGGAAAACAGCAUGUUUAACAGUAUAUAGUAUGAUACAUUAAAACACGAUGCAAAUACUGUCUCUUUCCACAAAUAUACACCUCAUAAAUAAACAAAAAUAUAUAUAUAUAUUCAUCUGUUAACAGGUAACGUAAUUAUUUUCAAUAUAUAAGCUGUCCUCUUGCUGAAGAGAAAAAUAUAAUAUUUACUCUAAGGCUUUUCAGAGUAUCCAACUCCAAUUAGUAUUAUUGCAGACUAUCAUAUGAUAAACAAACACAUUAAUAACACAUAAAUAAAAUGUAAAAACACAAGCAAUAAGUGCCAAUAAUUACAAUAAUAAUAUCAAUACAAUAAUUAAGGCCUCAAAUGCAAUACAACGAAAUCACGUGAAAUGAACGAGAACACUGCCCAAAACAAUGGGGUUUAGUGACCAAUGGCAACUUAAAUACUUGCCCGAAUCCCUCACACCAAUGACAAAACUUUGGCAGCAAGAAGAUUUAAGGCUUUCACACCUACACACUUUCUUGGUGAACAACAGUGGUUGUGUGAAAGUGAGAACAACAUGACAGUACUUUUUGAAUACCAGCAUUUCAUUAGUGACAGUCACUUGUCCAUACAUAGGUUUUUUCAAAACCAGAAACCAUCAUAGAUGAUGUUGAAUGAUGCUGUGAUGGCAUUUUGAAUAACCUAAUAUAAAUACAUUUACAAUCCAAAGUUAAAAUAUUCUGUGGCAAAACAUUACAUUGGCUUUUAAUGCAAUUUCUUUACAUAUCCACCAUACUCACACUGUAGAUGAACAGUAUCCAUGUUCAUUUCCCAGAUGUGACUUAACAAUUUAUCAAAAAUAUAUAGAGAAAAAAAUAUAUCUUUUUUUUUUCAACUUUGGAGUACAAAGUGUUCAAUAACUUAAAGUAGGCAUAGUGUUGACUCCUACAACAUGGCUUUGUUUUUUCUUUUACACAGUAAACCUUUAAAGACAGGGUAAACUUCAUACAGUCUUUGAAGAAAAACAAGUACUUAAGUCAUUUAAGCCUAAGAACAAAAUAUAACAUCAACUCAAAAUGGAGGCUACAGUAUCAGUUCCUUCUGUAAAGCAGACCCCCAUAGAUCAUAGCUAGCCAUAUGAUAUUAUUUACAUUGGACAUAAAAAUUGAAAGCAUCAUUAAGUAUUCAAAGGGCUACUUAUUCAUGCAUGUUCUAUGUCUGUUUCAAACAGAAACCAUUCACAAAAUGUUAGGACAAGAUUUUCAUUGCAAUUCACAUAGCCUGUUGAUACUAAAAUCCUCAAAAGCAAAACAGUGCCAUAUAACACUGCAUGACACAAUCUGCAAGAAGUAGUCUUCUGCAGUGUUUGACAGUAGUCAAACAUUCUGUAAUGUAUAUAUUUAAAAUGCACCAGAGGAAAUAGAUAAUUGUUACAUAUUUUAAGUAAGCAGUCACAGGUAAAUGUAUAGUCACAUGUUGGACACAAACAACAUUUUAUAGGGAUUUUCAGUCAUUCAGAAAGUAGGGGUUUGUUUUGUUCCAGUACGUUUGAUUGCAGCAUCAAAACUUUGUCACCAAAAAUGUACAAAUGCUCUGAUUCUGGACCUCUUCGUGACCAUCCACAAGCUUACAAUUCUGUGUGUUAACCGCUGCCUGGGGACUGGCCUCCUUAAUAGAAGCUGUACUUGUCAGUCUGUCAGUGAUUACGAUGUACCCUGGUUUGAUUAAAUAAUGCAUUUGGUAAGUAAAGGAUAUAAAUGUUUUUGUCAGUUAAACAAUACUAUUUUCCAAAAAAUAAGUAUUAGUAUGUUUCAUUCAAGUUCAUUCAAAAAGUAUUUUUAAAAAAAAACAUGCAAAAUUCAUCAGGUUACCUACUUACAACUCCUUCUUUGGCACUGCCACAAUUCUUAUGGUCCUAGGGGUAGAAUUCUCUGGAUGUUCCACCUGCUACUUGCAGUGACAGAGUACAUAUGGAAAUGAAUAUAACACCAAAUUAAAGUACCUGAAGUACAAGGACAAUUGAAAUACUUUAACCUUAAUUACAUUUACAUUUAGUCAUUUAGCAGAUGCUUUUGUCCAAAGCGACGUACAUAAAAAAAAAAAAUUCAAACACCUAGGAGAAAACUGUGCCAUUCAAUUCUAUAUUCAAAUCUGGACAGGAGAUGUUCUUUUGUAUUUGUCUAUCUAAGCAUUUACUGUAUGUAAAGGUAAAGGUAAGGUAUGUAGCAGGCGCUUUUUUCCAAUCGAUUUCUUGGAAGGCAGCAAUACUGACCACGGGACAACUAAGUAAGAAAGAAUGUAUGUGUGUAUGCGUAUAUGUAUGUAUGUAUAGUUUUAAAUUAUUUAACGUAAUUAAACUGUACUUAGAUUUAGAUGAAGACUUAAUUUUCUUACUUAAUAAUAACUUCAGUGAGGCUUUAUUUUCAUACUUCUACUUAAUGAACCCAGUGAACAAAAGGACUUUAGCACCAUUUAAUUAAAAUACAUAAUUAAAAAAAGAAUUAAAACCUCAAUCAAUCCUAAUACUGAAGUCAACCCUUUUUUCAAAAAUAACUAUUAAUCUGACCGGCAUAAAAACCUUUGCCGGUUGUGAUGCAACCAUGGCAACAAUGUUCAUUACAUAUAUUAUAUAAAUAUAUACCGACCAGCGCUUAUAUAUAUAUCAUAUAUAAAAUCAGUAGGAUUGCGCUGGUUGGUUUAAGAAAACACCAAAAGUGAGUUUUGUCAAUCUGUGGGGGAAUAUUCUAGUAGGAAGAUCAGUCUUGUUUGCUUUGGCUCAUGCAUGGAUUCUUCAUCCUACACUUGAAAUUCGAUGUUUCCAGACUGUGUAUUCUUACUGAGUAUUAAUUACUGAGACUAUGGUGAUCAUAGGGUUAGAUGGCUACUUAACAAAUUGCUAGAAAGGAGACCAAGCAUUGAAAAAAGCAAUCCAUUCAGUAAUGAGCUACUGAAUAAUUAGGUCAAUACCUUCUCUUCCAGAGUUGAGAUGUCCUUCACUUCCGAACAUGACAGGCCACAGAGGAUAUCCUUUGCUUUAGCCAAGACUGUCACAUUUCAGAAAUAAGUUUAUGUCUGACAGAUAAGGUGUGCUGGAUUUUACUGUGGUGUUGUCCUAAUCGGUUUUGCAGUCCUUAUUACCACUGGUUGAACAUGUGAAGCAUCUGGGGCUGUAUUUAUGAAUGAUGUUACAGUGUUGACUGUAAAGACAGAACUGUAAUCACUGUUGUCCUUGGUGAGUGGGUCUGUGUGGGAGCGUGUCUUCAAGCUGGACUCUUUUUGACUUCAACCUCAGCUCUUCAUGUUCCUGUUUAGUUUCAGAAUGAAACAGUGGCUUGUCUAUGGCGGGCUCUCUCUGAAUCUCAUUCCACCCAGUCUGUUGGCAGGACUGUUCUCUUCGCAACUGGCUCUAUAGCGCCCCCCUCAAAUCCACCAAACCCAUGUGUCCAUGCAGUGCUAGAUCCUGAGGGGUCCUGAGGUUCCAAAAGCCCUGGGACUCCUGGACUGUGUGUGUGUGUCUCUCACUGAGACAGGGGUUUCACCGAGACAGAUCAUCUUCAGCUGGGGAAUGCCAUCCUGGGGAAGGGGCGGGAGGGAUCCACAAAUGACAGAGUUGACCAGACUGGAGCGGAGGACAGGUGUUUAUGGGAAGGUGUUGACCAGACUGGAGCGGAGGACAGGUGUUUAUGGGAAGGUGUUGACCAGACUGGAGCGGAGGACAGGUGUUUAUGGGAAGGUGUUGACCAGACUGGAGCGGAGGACAGGUGUUUAUGGGAAGGUGCUGAAGGCACACGUGGCACCGAGGGCCUUGCUGAGACUGCUGUUUCUCCUCUUACUGGUGGAUGUCGCAUUAUGGUGGGUUUAUAUCAUUUUUGGGUGAAUCCACCACUGCCUUGUAAGUGCCAUUCAUCUCUUGUGCCCCCCAGCAAGACGGUCCCUCUGAUCUAUGAAGCUUUUGAUUUGGCAAGUCUGCCUGAGUCCACAUUGACAAGGCAGAGAGCGAGACAUUCUUUGCUAUAUUUCAUCUAGAAUAAAGAAAAAGGGGUUGAACUAAUGAAGUCCAAAUCUGCGGGGAAAAAGAAAAUGUUACAUAACAUACAAUAGAUGUCUACCCAAUCUUAUAGUCAGUUUGUAUGUCUAAUGUCUAGUAAGUCUAAAUGGCUUCCUAAUGAGCAAGCUCAUUCUAACGUUAACCACCAACACUGCCUUUUUUGUAUCUGAGUUGAUAUGGAUGGAAAUAUGGAUACUUUGUUUAGACAUUUUUUAUUACAUCACAUAGUUGUUGUCAAUUAUACAACCUGGGAAAAUCUCACAUGCAUUUUUGUUUAUCACAGGGUCUAUUCUCACGAUAGAUACAAAAUGUAAAGACUUCUAGGGUUAUAAAAAUAUCGCUUACCACAGGUUUAGGAUUUUCAUUUGUGUUGUGUUCAAGUGUUGGGUAUCUAUGGCAGCAGGUUAUUUCUUUUUGUAUUACAUCUAACCAUUUAGUCUUUAUCUCUACAAAUUGGUGUGCUAACCUUGUUACUGUACUGGUUGUGUCAGUCAAAAUACAAUUUGUACAACCCCUCAAAAUAUGGGCCACAAUAUUUAACGAUGGAGCAUACCUCCAGGAUCCAUUGUGAAUCUCACAGUUCCUGCAGUUCUAGCUGUGAUGUAAUCAGGGGUAUAGGUCUGCUCUGGACAUUGCUGUAACCUUUAAUAGACAGCAGAUUUCCAAGACAGCAUUUCAUGGUGGAAGCAUCACCUAGACAAAUUCACAGGAACACAGUGGAUUCACUUGAUUUCGAAAGACAAACGAUCUAUCUAGCUCUGAAAAAACGUAUCUAUCACAUUCAAAUAUAAUCUACAAGCUGUGUAGCACCACACUGGCGAGACAGGAGAGAUGUGUCGGUCCCAGUGGCUUUAGGGUAAUGGCAUGUUGAUGAGUCACAAAUACUCUGUCUUUGU